GUACAUCCUGACCUGGCCACCUUCCAUGCAGAGGUGGUUGAGGCUUUCCAGCAUGACCCAGAGAAUGGAAUGAGGGCCGUCCUCCUGGAACCACCCACUACACCUCCCUAGAGCCACUGGGACUGCUCAGCAACCCUGCACUGCUGGUCUCCAUAUGGGGAGGAUGCCGGAGAGGAUGGCAAUGGCAGCACCAUGACCCAGGGUCCACGACAUGGCCAGCUGAGGCUGGUGUGGCUCCUUUUCUUUAAUGCCACCACAGUGUUGGAAUCCCUGCAGGAUUCUCUGUAGGUUAAGUGUUCCUCCAUCCUGUAUCUGUAGAUCUGCAUAAUUCCCACCUCACAUGUCCUUGGAUUCACCCCAUAAUGAUGUCUGUGCUGUUUUGAGCCAUGGGAUUCUGAGUUUCACAGUGCUGAGUUCUGGAACAUCAGGCUCCGUUCCUUGUUCUCAGUGAAACCAGUGUGAACCGGGAAAAUAACCACAAAGUACAGAACUGCAGCUUUAAUGUAAAGUGUGUGUCCAGCCUAUUUCCAGACCCUGUAAAGGACAGAAAGUCCCCCUUUGCUGGUGUGUCACGUGGGACACUCUCAGCACACGACACUUGCGAGGUCUAACUGGCAGUUAUGCCACGUGAGAUAUGAGAAGGACUGUACAUGGCUGGACAAAUACUUCUGAAUCUUGUGUCCACAGAGUUAAAAGUUUCGCCGUCAUAGCCCUGGAAGGCUAUAGCUUCAACAAGGGGCUACUUCAGGCUCUUCUCCUUUGUGGAGAGGAGCUCUCUGCCUCUUCUAGGAGUCUGACAGGUAACCUCUGACUGCAGGCAGUCAGGCUGUCUGUACCCUGGAAUGCCUGAUGAUCCUUUAUCCUUGCAACUUGAUGAGCCUUUCUCCUUGCACCUUUCUCCUCCUUGAAGAUGCUAUUCAAAUGCUUCCUAAAGAUGUGAUCCAUCCUUACAUUAGCCAGGCCUCUCAGUUACCAUCCAUAUGCUAACCUGGGGACAUCAGGGAGGCCAAGAUGUUCUGGUGUUAGAGCUGAAUCUGCAGAACAAUAUGUAAGGUAAGGAGAGCAAGAUUCAUUGUGAAGAUAUGUUCUUAGCGCAUACCCACCUGUCCUUGCUUUAGGCAGUGUGGCGGUCCACAAAUCUACACACACACACACACACACACAUACACACACACACACACAAAACCAUUGCUAUACUUUGAGACAGAGGAACUGUGGGCUCUCUAUCUCUCUCUCUGUGUGUGUAUCCUAUGUCAAACAGGCUUUUUAUGUCAGAGUUGACUUCUGCCAUACUGCCUAUCAAGAGUCAUACUGGGUGACUUUGUGUGAAGUCAGAGGUUCCUAGCCCUGAGUGUUUCUGGCGUUGAGUGCCUGGAAUUUUUACACUGCAUGUAAAAUGGAGCUGAGAACUGAAAUAUCCAGCCAGGGCUGUUCCCAUGGACACACGUAAAGUCUAAGUAAGUGUGUAAUCAUGUAGUGGGAGUGCUUCAGGACUGGUGUAAGUGAGCAGGUUAUGUAAGGAACCCUGGUGCUCCCAGGAGAGGAAGUGACACGCUGCCACUGCAGGGAUCAUGUACGUAGUUCCAGAGAACAUCACCUGUGUUAUCCAUCUGCAGAAGACAGGCAAAGAGCACUCAGCCAGGUCCUGGAGCUACCUGCACCAGAAGUUGCCAUCCUUGGGGCUCAAAACCACAAGGGCAGAGAAAACCACAAGGGUAGAGACCCAUGUGUCAAUUCAUCCAGGGAUGAGGACAGUGGACAAAUGCCUCUUCCACCUAGUGGAAAACAUGUCCAAAUGCUAUUUCACAUGAGUGCCUGCUCUGCUGUGUACAUGCCAAAUUCAUACACCAGAGAUUACAGUGUUCCUGUACUGUGUCCUCUUCAAGUCCCAGUAUGAUUCUGAGCAUCAUGAAGAAAUGGUGAGACACUGCAGACAUGCCACUGUCCAGAGAUGUCCUGUGAGACAUGUAUCCAAGAUCCUAAAAGGACUUCAGAAGACUUCUCCCCUUCUUCAACCAAUAAAGGUAGCAAGGAACACUUUUUAGACUUACUUACCAAAGUGCUAAGAUUAUUACAUCUUGAUAAAGUUGCAUAGAUGAUGUUUGUCUUGAAUCAGCCUGUACCCAUUCCUCCAAUGAUGACAGAGCUCCACGUGGGUCAGGACUGGGCAUGAGGGCUCAGAGAUGGCACAUGAAUUCCAGCAUCUGGUUGAUGAGUUUACUGAAGAUGAUAAAAGGAGAAAUGUGAUCUGGAAGGAAUCAUAUGAUUGGUCAGACUGAAGGCAGGUAUGAAAAUAGAGUACAGAUUGGUCUACAAACAACAUCCAGUGAAGACAAUCCCAACUCAUCAACCGGCCCAGGAACAGUCACUCAUAACACAGUGAAGCUGUGCUGCAUUUAUGACCACAGCAAACAUGGUGAAGAGUUGAGAAGCCCUGAGACUGUAGUGAGAAGUAAGCCAGCUCUGGACCAGGCUUGCUCUCCUUUUCCCUAUCCCAUUCCUUCCACGGUAGAACAGUGUGGUACAUCAUGACUACUGAUUCAGGACUGUGGGAACCUGGCCUGUCUCACCAUGCACAGACACCUUGACGUCAGGAAAAGCCCACAAACCAGUCCGCUUCUAUCCAUCGUACAUGCCAGCUGACAGCUCACGGCAACAGCAUCCAGGCUUCCUUCUGUCCCAGAACCUGGUGGAGAGCAAGGGAUCAGCAGAGGGGAACAUGGCAUCUGCCAGGAGGUAGCAAGCACAUGAGACAAAAAGGACGCUAGAAGGAAAGGUUGAUGAAAAGUUAGCUACAAGUGAAUGACCAUUCAUGAGAUCUAGUGCUGGUAGCUUGUGUUAACAGUCUGUGGGAAUGUCAAGGAUUUUAGAUUUGUCUUUCAGCCCUGGGUAUGUGUGAAACCUGAACGUGGAAUUCUUUGAACUCUG